CAGGGGCGGAUCCAGGAUUUCAGAUUAGGGGGGGCGCAAUGUUAAAAUUUCGCCGAGCGGAGCGAGGCGAAAUUUUUGUUUGAGGUAUAAUUAUCGAAAUUAUUGGAAUAUUCUUCUAAAGAGGGUGUAAUGUAGAUAUCUUGCAUGGCAAGCAAAACGUGGCGAAUAUUUUGUGUUAAAAUAAUCGAGAAAUUAAAGUUUCAAGCUAAAACCGCAUAAAUCCAC
rnacentral:lncRNA from 1 species